ACUCUCGGCAACGGAUAUCUCGGCUCUUGCAUCGAUGAAGAACGUAGCGAAAUGCGAUACUUGGUGUGAAUUGCAGAAUCCCGUGAACCAUCGAGUCUUUGAACUCAAGUUGCGCCUGUAGCCAUUAGGUUGAAGGCACGUCUGCCUGGG
rnacentral:rRNA from 1 species